rnacentral:rRNA from 1 species
AGUGAACGCUGGCGGCAGGCCUAACACAUGCAAGUCGAGCGGCAGCGGGUCCCUCGGGAUGCCGGCGAGCGGCGGACGGGUGAGGAAUGCAUCGGAAUCUGCCCCGUCGUGGGGGGUAACCUAGGGAAACUUAGGCUAAUACCGCAUACGACCCACGGGUGAAAGCGGGGGAGCGCAAGACCUCGCGCGCUAGGAUGAGCCGAUGUCCGAUUAGCUAGUUGGCGGGGUAAAGGCCCACUUAGGCGGCGAUCGGUAGGUGGUCGGGUAGGAUGAUCGGCCACCUUGGGGCUGAGACAGGGACCAGACGACUAAGAGAGGCAGCAGACGGGAAUAUGGGGCAGUGGGGGGAAGUCUGAUCCAGUGGUGGCGAGCGGGUGAAGAAGACGUUCGGGUUGGAAAGACGUUUUGCGGGGGAAGAACUCGUCUCGGCUGAGACGCCGGGUGAGUGACGGUACCGGAAGAAUAAGCACCGGCUAACUUCGUG